AACGAACGCUGGCGGCAGGCCUAACACAUGCAAGUCGAACGGACGUAGCAAUACGUUAGUGGCAGACGGGUGAGGAACACGUGGGAACAUGCCCUUUGGUUCGGAAUAACUCAGGGAAACUUGAGCUAAUACCGGAUAAGCCCUUAUGGGGAAAGAUUUAUCGCCGAAGGAUUGGCCCGCGUCCGAUUAGCUAGUUGGUGAGGUAAUGGCUCACCAAGGCGACGAUCGGUAGCUGGUCUGAGAGGAUGAUCAGCCACAUUGGGACUGAGACACGGCCCAAACUCCGACGGGAGGCAGCAGUGGGGAAUAUUGGACAAUGGGCGCAAGCCUGAUCCAGCCAUGCCGCGUGAGUGAUGACGGCCCUAGGGUUGUAAAGCUCUUUCACCCACGACGAUAAUGACGGUAGUGGGAGAAGAAGCCCCGGCUAACUUCGUGCCAGCCGCCGCAGUAA
rnacentral:rRNA from 1 species